UCCAAGGAGGAAAUAGAAUAACU
rnacentral:piRNA from 1 species